AUUGAACGCUGGCGGAAUGCUUUACACAUGCAAGUCGAACGGCAGCAUAGGUGCUUGCACCUGAUGGCGAGUGGCGAACGGGUGAGUAAUACAUCGGAACGUGCCCAGUCGUGGGGGAUAACGUAGCGAAAGUUACGCUAAUACCGCAUACGAUCUAAGGAUGAAAGCGGGGGACCGUAAGGCCUCGCGCGAUUGGAGCGGCCGAUGUCAGAUUAGGUAGUUGGUGAGGUAAAGGCUCACCAAGCCGACGAUCUGUAGCUGGUCUGAGAGGACCGCCAGACACACGGGGACUGAAACGCGGCCAAGACCCCUACGGGAGGCAGCGGUGGGAAUUUUUGGAAAAUGGACGCAAGUCUGAUCCAGCCAUUCCGCGUGCAGGACGAAGGCCUUCGGGUCGUAAACUGCUUUUGUACGGAACGAAAAAGCUCUUACUAAUACUAGGAGGCCAUGACGGUACCGUAAGAAUAAGCACCGGCUAACUACGUGCCAGCCGCCGCCGUAA
rnacentral:rRNA from 1 species